UUGUAUUUUAAAAUUCUUUCAUAAGAUUUAGGAAAGCAAGUAUUACUGUUUUUAUUGUUGUUAUUUUAGGGACAUUCAUCAGUGAAACUUAGCAGGGGACUUGUAACGUUUUGCACAAUUGAAGCAAAUGGUUUAGCUAAUAUCUGACAACAUUCCAGUCUAACACUAACAGGCUGUUAAUCUGCCACCAAAUAGAUUUACAGUGAAAGCUUUUCCUUUCUCUGCAGGACAAAGCAAAAUUUGAAAUAUCCCCCUCAAGCUAAUCCUCUGAAUUACUAGAUUCAAGAGAGAAUCACUUAAUUUUUUACUUGUGAUCAUAUUUCGUCUCCACUCUACCUUUUGUACUUUUGUAUCUAUCUUACAGUUUUCAUAUCAGAUUCAUGCAGAACUCCUAAUGAAAGCAGAGCAGAGAUCACAGGUUGCUCCCUGCUUCUUGUGCUUUUGCAACACACAUUUUAAAAAUAUUGCUUCAUUCUUCUGCAUGUAAGAUUUCAGUGGCAAAUAAACCUCAUCAUCUAGCAGAAGAGAGGGAAGAAUGUGCAGUGACUGGAAGGGUGUGUCAGUUUCAAAACAACUAACAGUCACUGAAAAAAUAGAAGCUUUCUGCUCAGGUGCUAGACUUGGCCUCAGGAUAUUCUCACUGGCAAGGGACAGCUCCCUGUCAUUCUUAAUGGACAAUAGCAGCCCCAAGCCAAAGGGUGAUUUAGAUUCCCACAAUGUUCUUGGACUCUUUACUAUCCAGUGCAUACAGAAGAUGUAAAUGACCUGUGUAUAUUAGUAUCAACAAUCCUUUUUGUUGGCUAAGUGGUUUGGUUAAUUACCCUGAGCAUCCCAUUGAUGGGCAAUAGAAAGAAUGAAUAUUUACUGAAGGGGAACCUGAGCAGGAGAUGAAUGUAGUAGCUCUUUGCAAUUGCUCUCUGCAGAUCAUAUUUUUUAUUUCCUACUGUAAAAAUAGGGAUAUUAGCAGAAAAUUUGACCUAGAAAGUCGGUGAGCAAAAGAUGGAUGGUGUAAAUAUGCAUGACCUCAUUGCAUUUCUGUAUGUACAACAAUUUUCAUUUCUGUUGAAGAAAUGACAUGAUGUUCUAUUGUUACUGUUUCCCUCAAAGUUAAUGUAACCCUGCUUGUUAUGUCUGUCUCACUCAUGCAGUCGUUUGUGAUUUCCUUGAGUGUUCUACCUAGUGUUCUACCUAAACAGGAAAGAACAUGUCAUAAGCAGCUUGCCAGGGAAUUUCAGAACAUUCAGAGCCCAAAUGCAUAUGAAAAAAGAAAUUUGAAAUGAAAAAGAAAGUUAAAGUGCUUACGAAGCCCACAGCGUGUGUCUAUAAUGUCCUACGUGGUUAACUUUCUCACAAACCUAUUAAAAUAUAUCUUUCACCCCAAUUGAGCGUUGCAGAAAACAACUCAUCCCCUGGACAUUAUGCUGUGAAAGGCUGGAGCCAGAGCUAAGUUUUGUUAGCAGCUGUACACUCUGUGAAAGGUCUUUUUUUUCCUUUCUGGUUAGAAGUAGGUAAUGGUACUCUCUGGAGGUUUUGUGAAGAACACUUCAAGGUAUGUUAACUGAAAACUGAAAUUAAACAGAGAGCACUCUGAGCUCAUGUCAAAAGGAUUCUGAGGACAAGGCUGAAUAAUGAAAAGAGAUUCAUCUCCUGGGUAAGGAAGGCCAUAGGCCGGUGUUCUAGAGAGCUGUACUUUUUUGCAUGUGAUUAUUGAAACAUGCAACAGAUAUUUGGUAGAAAUUCACUGUUCACGUCCCUUUAGAAGCACACUGCAAAGAUCUUUCACCUGUAAAGCUUUUUAUUGCCAUUUAAUGAUUUGCUUAAUAUACUAAGCUAUUUUGCCCUGUAUCAACCAGCUCCUGUCAAUCUCUAGCUUAAUAUGAUGUAUUUACUACAUCGUGUGCUAAAUGGGCUCAGUUGUGGAAUAAUAAUCCCUUCACAUUUAACAGGAAAACUUGGCAGGGAAAAACACUAUUUUUCCUAAGAACAACUGAAAAUAAGAAGUGGGCAUUCAUAGAUUGCCCAUAAUUGCAUCUCACAAUUUUAGACACGAGAAGAAAAUAAAUCCACAUUUUUAAAAUAGAUACUCCUGUCUUCAGGGCUUAAAUAAUUUUGAAUUGUUUACUGGGUUAGCUUAAAAUAAAGUUAGA